UACGGAGGAUGCAAGCGUUAUCCGGAAUCAUUGGGCGUAAAGCGUCCGUAGGUAGCGUUUCAAGUCUGCUGUCAAAGCACAAGGCUUAACCUUGUAAAGGCAGUGGAAACUGAAAGAGCUAGAGUGCGGUAGGGGUAGAGGGAAUUCCCAGUGUAGCGGUGAAAUGCGUAGAGAUUGGGAAGAACACCGGUGGCGAAAGCGCUCUACUGGGCCUGCACUGACACUGAGGGACGAAAGCUAGGGGAGCGAAAGGG
rnacentral:rRNA from 1 species